AAAACAUACCUCGUUUGAAGCAGAAGGUAAAGCUUUUGUUGGAGCACCUUUUUUUCCAUCUGUUUUCCUUUUUAAUCGAUGGUCUGCUUUUUUAAUGAGACGUAGGCCUACGAUAUGCACGAAGCAUGUUGGACUUGACAGGAUCAGUCACCGGUGGCAAGUGUGCUGAUACAUCAAGGAUACCACCUCUUACCCUGACGAUUCUGCAGACUCGGGAGGCCAAUUAACACCUGCACAACAAGGGCCGGGAGAAGCGCGCCGGAAUCCUCCCUCGUGAGCAGAAGAGCGCAGCGCGUGGCUGAGAAUGGAAAAGCGCGGGAAACUCGCAGGUGAAGUUCUCCUCAGGGCAAUUGUGGCGGGACCUCAGGCGAGAUUCGGCUGAGGCGGUUCAUUUUAAUAGCAUCGUCACAUCACUACAGACCCACGACAGAAAUCUGAGGAAACAAAGAGACAAACCAGGACAGAAUGUAAAUAAGAUCCUGGGGAAUGUACUGGGAGAACGGCAUCGGAGGGUGAACACCGGCAGCCGGGGUCGCCAUCCAUCACUCCGACUCAGGCCUGGUGCGGUGGACAAGCUCGGCACAGGCCAAGAAACCUGAGCCACUACAAGACAAACAC
ensembl:lncRNA